UACGAAGGGUGCAAACGUUGCUCGGAAUCAUUGGGCGUAAAGCGCACGUAGGCGGCCUACUAAGUCGGAUGUGAAAUCCCUCGGCUCAACCGAGGACGUGCAUACGAAACUGGUAGGCUCGAGUAUGGAAGAGGGUCGCGGAAUUCCCGGUGUAGAGGUGAAAUUCGUAGAUAUCGGGAGGAACACCAGUGGCGAAGGCGGCGACCUGGGCCAAUACUGACGCUGAGGUGCGAAAGCGUGGGGAGCAAACAGG
rnacentral:rRNA from 1 species